rnacentral:rRNA from 1 species
UGGGGAAUAUUGGACAAUGGGCGAAAGCCUGAUCCAGCCAUGCCGCGUGAGUGAUGAAGGCCCUAGGGUUGUAAAGCUCUUUUGUGCGGGAAGAUAAUGACGGUACCGCAAGAAUAAGCCCCGGCUAACUUCGUGCCAGCAGCCGCGGUAAUACGAAGGGGGCUAGCGUUGCUCGGAAUCACUGGGCGUAAAGGGUGCGUAGGCGGGUUUCUAAGUCAGAGGUGAAAGCCUGGAGCUCAACUCCAGAACUGCCUUUGAUGCUGGAAGUCUUGAGUUCGGGAGAGGUGAGUGGAACUGCGAGUGUAGAGGUGAAAUUCGUAGAUAUUCGCAAGAACACCAGUGGCGAAGGCGGCUCACUGGCCCGAUACUGACGCUGAGGCACGAAAGCGUGGGGAGCAAACA